rnacentral:rRNA from 1 species
AGACAGCAGCAGCCGCGGUAAUACGUAGGGUGCAAGCGUUAAUCGGAAUUACUGGGCGUAAAGCGUGCGCAGGCGGUUUGUUAAGACAGAUGUGAAAUCCCCGGGCUCAACCUGGGAACUGCAUUUGUGACUGGCAAGCUAGAGUAUGGCAGAGGGGGGUGGAAUUCCGCGUGUAGCAGUGAAAUGCGUAGAUAUGCGGAGGAACACCGAUGGCGAAGGCAGCCCCCUGGGCCAAUACUGACGCUCAUGCACGAAAGCGUGGGGAGCAAACAGGAUUAGAUACCCGGGUAGUCCCUGUCUCUUAUAC